rnacentral:rRNA from 1 species
UACGUAGGAUGCUAGCGUUAUUCGGAAUUAUUGGGCGUAAAGGGCGCGUAGGCGGCUUUUCAAGUGGCGGGUGAAAUCCCUCGGCUUAACCGAGGAACUGCCUGCCAGACUGGAAGGCUUGAGACCGGGAGAGGUGAGUGGAAUUCCCAGUGUAGCGGUGAAAUGCGUAGAUAUUGGGAGGAACACCAGUGGCGAAGGCGGCUCACUGGACCGGAACUGACGCUGAGGCGCGAAAGCGUGGGGAGCAAACAGG